UCGACGUAAUCGCGAUCAGGCUGCUUCACGGCUUUCACUUCCUUCGGUGGCGAUGGCUUGGGCUUCACCUCUUUUCCAAAGCCUUCGACCGAAGUCCCGACCUCUUCGCCCGCUUCGGCCGGGAAAACGCUGUAAGAAAGAGCUCAAUUCUCUCCAGGAGACAUAAUCUUCGUCGUCUGGCUUCGCUGCUAGAGUCGCCACUCGAUUGAUCCUCCUGGAGCAAAUCCCCGCGAAGCUCCUCCGAGAUUUUAAUCCUGGUAGAUUUCUUUGGUGGAGCUGGUACGGGAUUGGAACUCCGGCAGCUUGCAUCUUGGUAGCUCUUCUCUCUUUUUGAUCUUCUUCUCUCGUUCUCUCUUCUCCCAAAGAUAUUUAGAUAUAUUCCCAGAUAUUCUAGUCUGACGUGGCAGGCUACUGGCUGUUUGCGUCACCAACGGCUGCGAUUAAACGCCAUGUUUGUACUAUAUUUUGAGGAGAUCUUAAGAAUAACAAUAUUAUUCAAUAAAAUAUAAAUUUGAACA